rnacentral:rRNA from 1 species
CAGUGAUUGCUUUUUUAACGGCCGCGGUACCCUGACCGUGCAAAGGUAGCAUAAUCAUUUGCCUUUUAAUUGAAGGCUGGUAUGAACGGUUUGACGAGAGUAAAGCUGUCUCACAUAUACUUAAUAAAAAUUAAUUUAAAGGUGCAAAAGCCUUUAUUGCCCAAAAAGACGAGAAGACCCUGUUGAGCUUUAAUUUAACUCAAGUACUAACUAUAUAUUAAUAUAAUUCACUUGCUUGAUAAAAAUUUUAAUUGGGGCGAUUAAGGAACAUUCAAAAGCUUCCUGACCAUAGAUUAAAUCGAUCCAGCAAUGCUGAUCAACAAAAUGAGUUACCACAGGGAUAACAGCAUAAUUCUUUUUGAGAGCUCAUAUCGAAAAAAGAGAUUGUGACCUCGAUGUUGGACUAGGGUAACCGGAAGGUGCAGCCGCUUUCCCGCUUGGUCUGUUCGACCAAUAAUUCCCU